CGCCUCUCCCGGAGGCCGCCGGGUGCGGGUGGCACCUCCAGGGCCCCAGCCGCUCUGGCCCUACGGCUCUGCUCCGGUCCAGCUCUCUUCCCCUAGAGGGCUUCUCCCGGAUGUGCUCUCUUGGAAGCGCCCGAGCCUCGGAGGCAUCCACGGUUCUCGGUGCGCGGCGUAAGCCGCUCCAACUACUUUGAGCCUGUCCUGUCCGCAGCCUGCAAGUUCGAGGAGUCCCUUCCGGGGUUGCAAAUUGGCAGCAGGAAUGUGAGGAGAAACACUGUCCCUCUCCCCAGGACUAACUUCACUUUCCUCGGGUGUUCAGGAGGUUGAAGAACAGCACCUGAGAUUUUUUUCCCCGGUUAUUCUUACUGUGACCUUCCCAGUGCAGGAAGAGGAACCCUGGAUCCAUCCUGGCUUUAUGUCUUCUUGGAUAGGAACUGAGCAGCACACCCAACUUACUGGAUCACAUGGCCAUGAGUCUUUUAAGAAAAAGCGUCAUCUGAGAACCUCUCACACCUUACGGAUGAAUAAAACACAAAACCAUUAACUUGACCAUCUUAAUGCUACACCAGGAGGAAACACUCCGAAAUCCCAUAUGACAUCUGUGAUGAAUGAUCCUGGAUUCAGACAUAAUAGGCAGUAUACAAAGAAUGAAGAAAAAAGACAGAGAAAAACGAGGCUCCCUUCAAAACAUGCUGCUCCUCAUCCACCGUGGCUGAAAGUGACCAUCUCUUCAGUGACACCAGUGGGCAGUGGAGGGGUGCAGAACAUCUCUUUAAAAUCAUGGCCAGAAACACUGUUUCUGCAACUCUGUGUCAGCCCUCAAAAUGUCACUAUGCUUUUCAUACAAAAUUGUGAUAAUAAAGUUUUAUGUAAACUGAUGUGUAGGCUUUGGC